rnacentral:rRNA from 1 species
AUUGAACGCUGGCGGCAGGCCUAACACAUGCAAGUCGAACGAGUGGCGGACGGGUGAGUAAUGUCUGGGAAACUGCCCGCUGGAGGGGGAUAACUACUGGAAACGGUAGCUAAUACCGCAUACCAUCGGAUGUGCCCAGCUGGGAUGAGCUAGUAGGUGGGGUAACGGCUCACCUAGGCGACGAUCCCUAGCUGGUCUGAGAGGAUGACCAGCCACAGUUGAACUGAGACACGGUCCAGCCUCCUACGGGAUGCAGCAGUUGUGAAUAUUGCAGAAUGGGCGCAAGCGUGAUGCAGCCAGGCCGCGUGUAUGAAUAAGGCCUUCGGGUUGUAAAGUACUUUCAGCGAGGAGGCGUUACUCGCAGAAGAAGCACCGCCUAAUUCCUUGCCAGCAGCCGCGGUAAAC